GGUUCUUAGCAUAGGAGGUCU
rnacentral:miRNA from 1 species